rnacentral:rRNA from 1 species
GAUGAACGCUGGCGGCGUGCCUAAUACAUGCCAGUCGAGCGAACAGAUGAGGAGCUUGCUCCUCUGACGUUAGCGGCGGACGGGUGAGUAACACGUGGAUAACCUACCUAUAAGACUGGGAUAACUUCGGGAAACCGGAGCUAAUACCGGAUAAUAUAUUGAACCGCAUGGUUCAAUAGUGAAAGACGGUUUUGCUGUCACUUAUAGAUGGAUCCGCGCCGCAUUAGCUAGUUGGUAAGGUAACGGCUUACCAAGGCAACGAUGCGUAGCCGACCUGAGAGGGUGAUCGGCCACAUUGGAACUGAGACACGGUCCAGACUCCUACGGGAGGCAGCAGUAGGGAACCUUCCGCAAUGGGCGAAAGCCUGACGGAGCAACGCCGCGUGAGUGAUGAAGGUCUUCGGAUCGUAAAACUCUGUUAUUAGGGAAGAACAAAUGUGUAAGUAACUAUGCACGUCUUGACGGUACCUAAUCAGAAAGCCACGGCUAACUACGUG